UACGUAGGGUGCAAGCGUUAAUCGGAAUUACUGGGCGUAAAGCGUGCGCAGGCGGCUUUGCAAGACAGAUGUGAAAUCCCCGGGCUUAACCUGGGAACUGCAUUUGUGACUGCAUGGCUAGAGUACGGCAGAGGGGAUGGAAUUCCGCGUGUAGCAGUGAAAUGCGUAGAUAUGCGGAGGAACACCGAUGGCGAAGGCAGUCCCCUGGGCCUGUACUGACGCUCAUGCACGAAGCGUGGGAGCAA
rnacentral:rRNA from 1 species